AUAAGGGCCUAUUUGGAUGCACAAUAAAAAAAAUUCCGUAAAGUUUAUAAACUGUGGUUUUGGUCUGGAUGAAAUAGAAAAUCUUGUAACUCUAAAAAAUUCUAUGACUUUAAUUUUUAAGCUAUUUUGAUACACUUUAUAUAAUUCCAUAUAAUUUCUCUUAAUUAGAAUUUAAAAGAUUAAAAAGUAAAAUAAAAAUUUUAGAUUUUAAAAGUUUAAAGUUAAAAUUUUCAAAAAUUAAAAUUAAAAUCUAACUUAAAAAUUAAAAUUAUAUAAAAAUCCCUUACCAAUACUCACUUUUUCACUUUUUCCGGUCAUUCAAAAAUCUACACUUUGUUUUUUUAAAAAAUAAAAAAUAUUCACAGAGGGGUAGGGUACGACAAAAUAAUUAAAUUA
rnacentral:lncRNA from 1 species